UACAGAGGGGGCAAGCGUUAUUCGGAAUUAUUGGGCGUAAAGGGCGCGUAGGCGGCAUGGCAAGUGGAAGGUGAAAUCCCUCGGCUUAACCGAGGAACUGCCCUCCAAACUGCUUCGCUUGAGACCGGGAGAGGUGAGUGGAAUUCCCAGUGUAGCGGUGAAAUGCGUAGAUAUUGGGAGGAACACCAGUGGCGAAGGCGGCUCACUGGACCGGUACUGACGCUGAUGCGCGAAAGCGUGGGGAGCAAACGGG
rnacentral:rRNA from 1 species